CCUACGGGGGGCUGCAGUGAGGAAUAUUGGUCAAUGGGCGCAAGCCUGAACCAGCCAUCCCGCGUGAAGGAAGAAGGCGCUAUGCGUUGUAAACUUCUUUUCCAGGGGGAGAAUUUUUCCGUCGUGACGGGAAUUGACGGUACUCUGGGAAUAAGCAUCGGCUAACUCCGUGCCAGCAGCCGCGGUAAUACGGAGGAUGCGAGCGUUAUCCGGAUUUAUUGGGUUUAAAGGGUGCGUAGGCGGAUCAAUAAGUCAGUGGUGAAAUUCUGCAGCUUAACUGUAGACUUGCCAUUGAUACUGUUGGUCUUGAGUAUGGUCAAGGUAGGCGGAAUGUGUAAUGUAGCGGUGAAAUGCUUAGAUAUUACACAGAACACCGAUUGCGAAGGCAGCUUGCUGGGCCAAUACUGACGCUGAUGCACGAAAGCGUGGGGAUCGAACAGGAUUAGAUACCCCUGUAGUC
rnacentral:rRNA from 1 species